AUCAGUCUGUUUCAUUUAAUUUUCUCAAUGUAAUUUGGAAGAUCUUAGAUGGGUUAUCUAAUAUUUUGUGAUUUAUACUCGCUGGAUUACUUCUGUGAUUAUAUUAUUUAACGUGAAAAAAUAGAAAAGGUCCAUGGACGUGCCCUGGUUCUGUUUGAUUGAUUUCCUAUGAGAAAUGUGUUGGUAAAAUUUGGGAUGCCUUUCUCUGUUGGGCUUUUUGAUAAACCCAUAAAUUUUGGGGAAGUUAAUGUGUUGGGUUUGCAUGUACAGAGGACUUGUUCAUCUGUCUCGGCUUCUAAUUUCAAUAGUUCUUGUGCAUUGCAAUACUUGGCAAUCUUUGUUUGGUAUCUUAGAAAUCAUGUAAUCUGAUGUUUUGCUAAUUUAUUAUGUGUUUAUAGAGCUCCGCAAGCUCUAUUUCUUCUAUCUGUAGAGGCUAAAAUUACCAGAUUUUGAGAUAGUAUUUUAUGACCAUCUAGUAUUAGUAUUGAUAUAUUGGUUUAUGAGAUUGAGUAAUGCUUCCUCCAGUCUUUCUCAAGUACUGAUGAAAUUUCUUCUUUUUGACUGAUAUUUUGUAAUUUGAACUUUGACUAUCAUUAGAACUUGUCGUAUAAAAGUCAUGUAGCAUACUUCAGCCUUUCACUACCAAGUUACCUCGUUUUUUAAAUUAGAAAUCCCAUUGUUAAGUUAUAUUAUAAACCAACAUAGUUACCUGGUAUGGGGGAACGGGAACGGGUAGGAGGUACGCCGGUUUCUAUGGUACAAAAUUCGAAGGGGUAGGCAUAGUUGGAACGAAAUUUCAGGUCAUAAUUCGUGUAUUAGUUUAAUUCGGUACAAUAUUAUUUUGUAAAUUCUCAGAAUUAGUAAGAAGUACAAAAAAGAGAGCGUAUAAGGUUGAAAAAAGUAACACAGCGUGUUUAUUAUUUAUUUAUCAAAAUUAGUGGGAAUUUUAAGCUCGUUGAAGUCUAAUUUAUUAUUUAGUUAAUGAAAAUUUACCUAUUUGGAAAAUAGCCACUUUCUUUAUUAGAUUGAACAAACCAACGUCUUCCUCUUCUGCUUGUAAAUUUUCUGCUGUUUCAGACCCAAUUUCAAAACUCCCUCUUUCUCUCUGUUUCCAUGGUUCUCUCUUUUGAUGGCUCCCUCUAUUGCUCUCCCACCACCCUAUUAAGUUGAUGAUUGGAAUAACCAAUCGAGUUUUGGCAGCAACGUCGCUCAGGUGAUCGGCCCUCAGCUUUAAAUCCUAACUCAUCUGAGUGACGUUUUGUGCGUUUUGAGCAGUUUGUGCGGUUGUAUAUUUGUUGGAGGAACCAGGGUUGGUAUUUGAUGAAUGGUGCUUCUGCAUCUAGUAGCUUAAGGGCAGCUUUCUCAUACUGUGUGCAGCAAGUCCGUAGUUAUGAUUACUAUAACUACCUUUGCCUCCUUGAACUCCCCCCUAACAUGCGAAAGGUUGCAUUUGCAGUCCGUGCCUUAAAUGUUGAAACAGCUCGUGCUAUGGAUGUUGCUUCUGAUCCGAGGAUUGGUCUUAUGCGCCUCGUCUGGUGGCAAGAAGCCAUAGACAAAAUCUAUGCCAACAAGUUAAUUGAGCACCCAACAGCACAAGCCCUGUUGUCAGUGGUACAUGAGAACAAAAUUAGCAAGGUAUGGCUGAAACGGUCUGUAGAAGCUCGGAUCAGUGAUGCAAGAAAGGAGGUUGGUGACACCCCAGAAAAAAUUGAAGACUUGGAGAGAUAUGCGGAAGAUACUGUAUCAACUCUUCUUUACAUGACACUUCAAGCUGGUGGUAUCAGGUCCACUGCAGCUGAUCAUGCAGCAUCACAUAUUGGUAAAGCAAGUGGUCUUCUUUUGCUGAUUAAGUCAUUGCCAUAUCAUGGUAGUCGAAACCGCCAUUUUUCUUAUAUACCAACCGAAGUGGCAGCCAAGCAUGGAUUGCUGGUUAAGCAUGGAGGUCAAUCAGAGAUUCAUUUGGAUUCUCGUGAGGGCUUAUGUGAAGCGGUUUUUGAGAUGGCAUCGGUUGCUAAUGUCCAUUUGCAGAAGGCUCGUGACUUAGCUGGUACAGUACCUGUAGAGGCUUUCCCAGUGCUGCUGCCAGCCGUGCCUGCCCAGGUUCUACUGGACUCUUUGAGACGAGUGAAUUUUGAUGUCUUUGAUCCAAGGUUAGCGCGAGGGAUUCUUGGUAUUCCUCCUUUGUGGUAUCAGUUGAAAUUGAAGUGGCAUUCAUGGAGGGCAAAAUACUGAAAGAAAUUUCCGUUUAUCGGUUGGAUGUGAAAGAAAUUGCAUUUUGCAUACAAGAGUUACACUACGGAUAUGUUCCUUUGCAGGAACAAAAAAAUCAUGCUCAUGAAUCCUUGUUAACCAACCUUUCAAGAAGAAAUUCACAUACGGAUGAAGAGAGGUUGUCUUUGGUUUCAACCUAACCAAUUCUUUGAGGAUUCUCCGAAUCUCCGAAGGUAUGAAAACAUCUUUUUCACAAACGUAAAGAUGCACAUUAUAUUUCAGCUCAGACUUUAGUUCCUGCAACUUGGGAAGUCAUCACUAAUCGGUUAUCUUAUCUAUGCAAAUUUUGAGCUCCCACAAGUAUUGUAGACUGAUUAUUUACUUGAUGUUGGUCCACUAAGUUAUAAUAGCCAUUCCUAUUUCCUACAAUUGCCAACUCAAAAGAGGUAUGUAAUCUAAGAAAUCCAAAACCAGCUUCCUUAAGACCAAAAGCACUCGACCAGUGAAUUGGUUAAAGAUGCCAAUGAUUGUUCAUAGAAAUCCUGUAAUUUUUACUUGGUUUAUGCUAAAAGUGCUUGAAAUCAUCAUGGUUA